CUUUCUCUCUAUCUUAAGAUUCCAUUCCAAUCUUCAAACCUACUCCAAUUGAGAGAAAAAAAAAAAACAUUCUUUGUGAGUUACUGAAUUCUGUUUUAACAGCAUCUGUUACUGUUGUCUCCAUCGAAUUACUAUGCCUUACGUAACUGAAUUGAAAAGUUAGGUAACGGUCUGAUAAGUGUUCGAGCUAGUGAGACACAAAACCUACCAAAG